rnacentral:tRNA from 1 species
AAAACUUUAGUUUAUAUAUAAAAUUUUACUGUUGCUUAGUAAAGAAAAAUUUUUUUUAAGUUUUA